GGGAUUGCAGGCCUGGGCGCCGGGGUUGGACCAGUCUCCCGGGCAUGGCACGCCCUGGUUAUUCUGUACCCGUGAUUUGUGGCGGGGCAAGACGUUAAGUUGGGUGACACCGAGGUGAGCCACGGUCCUCGGCACCAGAUGAGGAACCACUGUCUCAAUAAGGUGUGACAUGGAAAAUUGACACCAGUGAUGCUGUUAAACAAGGACAAUCCGGUUCAUGGAUUGUGACAACGCACGCUGACAUCAAGCAGACCCUGCCGUCAGGUACAGAGGGCACCACAGUGACCAGGAACUGCUGUCCUUUCAUACCAGGUUUUAGGAGGCUUUACCAGAAGGAAUGGAAAAUGCUGGUGGGCAGUAAGAUUGAAACAGCAUCUGAGGACUGGUUCUGCACAAAACCUUAAAUUCUUCAAGGACUUUGACAUUUGUUUAUUCUUGUAACAAAUUAAAACCUAUCCUGUGUGUUGGUUAGAGAUCUUCAAACUGUAAAUACCUUGAGGCAGGAGUGAGGUUUUUAUCUUUUAAAGGACAGGCCCCUACUCUCCUACGUAAUGAGUUUCUAAAAAUGGAUGUGAGCACCAAUCAAUAUUUCUCUGGUUGUUAAAGUCAAGAAUAAAAUGGUAUUUUUAAGCUC
rnacentral:lncRNA from 1 species